rnacentral:rRNA from 1 species
CACGUAGGAGGCGAGCGUUGUCCGGAAUCAUUGGGCGUAAAGAGCGCGCAGGCGGCUUGGCAAGUCGGGUGUGAAAUCCCGGGGCUCAACCCCGGGACUGCAUUCGAUACUGUCAGGCUAGAGGUAGGUAGGGGAGAUCGGAAUUCCUGGUGUAGCGGUGAAAUGCGUAGAUAUCAAGAGGAACACCUGCGGCGAAGGCGGGUUGCUGGGCCGACACUGACGCUGAGGCGCGAAAGCUAGGGGAGCGAACAGG